GCCAGCUAGUCACACUUCUGGAACCUAGUUGCACCAGAUUCCAGACGAGCUUACAGUCAGCACACCAGGACUGAAAAAAAAGGACCUUCUUUGCCACUGCCUUCAACCCCCAGAGCUCCUCGGAUUAACCUCGCAUUCUGGGGCAAUACAAAGGACCUCACCUGCCUGCCCUCCGGCCACCACUCACCACCUUGGACACAGCAGAACUCAGGUCAGCCAGCCUUUGCCACUACUCACCUGGAUCCUCACCACCUCUCCCUCAAAGCCAAGACGCACUCCGUCCCCGUCGCUACCUGCCAAUUCCCCGUUCACCCCACUGACCCACGGCCACACCAUUAGCAACACUUUGCCACAAAUUCACCUGUUGAUCUAAUAAACAAACACUGUAAAACGUGCGAGCCGUCUCUGUUGUGGUUAUCUGCGUUUGAGUCCAAUUUAGCUAUCGGCCUGUGGCCAUUGUGACAAAUCUCACCUAAAAACUAAAUGUUUUGGUAGUGACCUCUGAACUUUUCCAAGUCAAAGACUGAUCAUGUUUCAGAAAUAUGUUAAACAAUGCCAGCUUUACAAAAUGGAAGGUAUUACUUUGAAGAUGAAGCUUCAUACUGUCUCUGUCAUGAAGUCUUCCUGCUGGGAAGCACCAAAUAAAGUACACUAAAUGAACACCAAAUAAGACCUGUUUAUGGUAAUAUGUUAAUGCAAGGUGUCCAAAUCCAAUAUAAGUAAAGUAAGC
ensembl:lncRNA